UUGGUACAUUUAUUUUUAAUUAAUAAAUAUUUUAUCCAGUGGCUGCAAACAGCAGCCUCUUGGUAGAGGCCACAGCCCAUUGCUUGCACAGGUUGUCUGAAGAGUCCUUGGAGGGAGCC
ensembl:snoRNA SNORA70 Small nucleolar RNA SNORA70